ACAAUUUUUUAAUAUUAAUAAUACAAAAAAAAACACUAUAUUAGAAAAUACUCACAGCAGAAGCCAAUGUAGGAUAGGUGUGGGUAGGCUAAAUCGUUGUAUCAGGUAAAGGCAAAAAAACUUAAGGUCAUUCACGUGAUUAGAAUUCGUAUUUUGUACAGUUUAUUAUUAUUAUUUUAACUUGUCAUUGCCUUUUUUAACUGCUACUUACAGUUUUUGAACAUUUAAGCAAGUUUUUUAUCGCGCCCAAUAAAAACUUAAGGAAAAACUUGAAAACAUUACAAAAUGUUGGUUUGCGCAUGCGCAGUUCUGUAAAGAGGCUCGUAUCGAUGGGAAGCAUAACUCGACGGAACACCGGAAAAAUCGUCCACAUCCCCCGCUGUCUCGCAGCCCACGUUCGCCUUAUUUGACCCAGCGUCUGGCAGCAGUGUCCUCUUCCCUAAUCCACUGCAGUGCAAGAGCUGUUGUUUGUGCAGACAAUCAUCAUGGAUCAUGGGCAUCCUCCCUCCUCCAGCCCAGGUCUUGCAGCUGUACCAGGUAGAGUCGGUCUUUGUGUCUGUCAGAGCUACCACCGGGCACUGCCUCCUCGCUCAGCUGGAGCUGUGUCAGUAGGGGCGUGUUUUCCAGAAUCCGUCUGCGCUGCAGCAGGGCUGGGUUCACCGGGUUCGUGUGCGCUCACAGCGGCGGGUUGAGGCGGGGGAAAAAUGUGACCUCGUUUGACUGGAGUUGGAGGCGCUCCAAGCUGCAGUCGGGGAAGUGGAAUAGAAGGGAUUUGAGCAGGUGCCUCGCUAUUGUGCCCGUGUGUGUGCUCGCCUCAGAAACCAAUGCUUUCUCUGAGUCGGUACCCAUUCAUCCGAGGACACUCAGUACCGUUAUGUCGCGGAGAGUCAGGAAAAUAGAACAUGGAAAAAAAGUAAUUGCUGCAAGAACAGAAUGGAACUGCCAUGCAAAUGCUGUGGAUAAAAGAGGUCCACCAUAUUUUCUACUUAGGUUCCGGCUUCUGAAUCAAACUAGCAGGAGCCAUGGAGGAUCCCCUGAGGUGAGUUCCAGCAUUGUCUGCUACAACAAAGUGCAUGAAACACAGCUGAAAUGGGCAUUAGGCUGGAGUAUGCUCUGUAAGUGCCAUUGACCCGUUCUUUAUAGAGCUGCCGUCAUCGAUUAUCAUCAUCAGAGCUGGAGUAUGCACCCAUUGACUCAUUCCUUCUAAGGUUGCCACUAUCGAUCGUGUCGGUAUUCCUAUACGCGAUGUAUAUUGCUUGGAUCUUGGUUUCCUGCUGUGAAAGCUGCUUUCACACUAUCAUGGCAAAUGCACGGAUUGUUUGUUUUUUGUACAGCGGUGGGAAUAAACUACUCUACUGCUCAAGGCA
rnacentral:lncRNA from 1 species